rnacentral:tRNA from 1 species
GGGUUGCUAACUCAAUGGUAGAGUACUCGGCUUUUAACCGAAGAGUUCCGGGUUCGAAUCCCGGGCAACCCAUA